CCAAUAGCGUAUAUUAAAGUUGUUGCAGUUAAAAAGCUCGUAGUUGAAUUUCGGGGUUAGUAGGCUGGUCGUGCCACUGGUAUGUACUGGUCUUACUGACUUCUCCUUUCUGAAGAACUGUAAUGCCAUUAAUUUGGUGUUGCAGGGAAUCAGGACUGUUACUUUGAAAAAAUUAGAGUGUUUAAAGCAGGCUAACGCUUGAAUACAUUAGCAUGGAAUAAUGAAAUAGGACGUUCGAUCCUAUUUUGUUGGUUUCUAGGAUUGACGUAAUGAUUAAUAGGGAUAGUUGGGGGCAUUAGUAUUCAAUUGUCAGAGGUGAAAUUCUUGGAUUUAUUGAAGACUAACUACUGCGAAAGCAUUUGCCAAGGAUGUUGUCAUUAAUCAAGAACGAAAGUUAGGGGAUCGAAGACGAUCAGAUACCGUCGUAGUCUUAACCAUAAACUAUGCCGACUAGGGAUCGGAUGAUGUUAAUUUUUUAAUGACUCAUUCGGCGCCUUACG
rnacentral:rRNA from 1 species